AUUACAGAAGGAAGAAAAGUACCUCCAAGCAGGAGAAUCAAGUUUUAGUUCACCUUAGCUGAAUGUGUGGAGCUUCCAAACAACGCUUCCUCCAAAUGAUGGUCAACAUAGAGGAGUACUGAAUCAUCCAUCAAGGAAGGACAGCAGAUGAUAAUCAGCAGGAGGUUUCCUUGCUCAUAUUUGAUCAUGAUGCAUGAAACUUCAUGCAUAUCUUGGAUGAAGAUGUACAAGAGAACGAAGCUUAAACAUGCUUCAUUGAGAGAUAUAUUAUUGUAGGUGGUGUG